GAGAAGUCAUUUUCUCUUUUCUUUCUUAUUCUUUUUCUCUUUCCUUUUUAUUCCUUCUCUCUGGCGAUUCUGAGGAGCGAUUGUUGAACUGAGAGAUCGAGAAGAACAAAUCAAGAAAACCGAUGAUAAGAGAUGAUGUUGUUGUGGAUCAGGAUGAAGAACAAUUAAGGGAGUGUUGGGAUUUCGUCUGUGGUGACAAACAAAGAGAAGCAGAAUUAGGGUUCUUAGAUUUGAAUGAUGUUCUGAAGGUUUUCAAGAUCAUGUGUAGAGCUACUGCUAGAUACAGAAGCGUGGGUAGUCGUUUAAUUGAGUUUUCGAAGUUGAUUCGGUGGUGAAUUGAAGAAUUAGGGUUUCUCAAGAUGAACUGGAAGUCGAUUUGUGAUGUAUAAGAAGAAUUAAUGAGUGGGUUUAAUAGAUUGCGGAUCGAUAUGGGGUUAAUUAGGUGCUAUAGAGUUGUUCUUGAGGAAAUGAAGAGUUGGGGUUUCACAGGAAAGCUCGGGGAAGAUUAAAAAGAGGAAGUUGUUGUUUUAGGAGAUUAAAUUAAGGUUGGGUUUGCUCUGAAUUGAAGUUUAGUUGGAUGUAUUGGAUUAAUUUAAAUUGUAUGAGAAAUUGAAUCAGAAAUUAGGGUUUUUGAGAAUAGAAGAUGGUGAUGAAGAUUAGGAGUCUGACAUCGAGAAAAGAAGGAUACAAUGGAGGAAACCAGUUGGUGAUGGUGGUGUCAGUUCAGAUGUUGAUUCAAAUCAAGAAGAAUCGGAUAAGGUAAAUAAGGGUUCUCUUAUUUGAAUAUGUUUUCAUGGAAUUGAGUAUGACUUGAUGGAUUAUUUCAUGGGUUUGUGUUGUUAUUUGAAUUCCUGAGUUUAUGCCUCGGAUGAUGAAGUUGUGUAUGUGUGUUGGGUGAUAGAGAUGGAGUUUGCAGAUGAUAUAUUCAUUAUGCUUGAAUAGAAUUUGGUGGUGCUAUGGCAGGUGGCGAUGAAUAUUUUGGUUACAGAGGCAUUGGCGGUGAUUGCAGUGAGGAGGUGAAGAUGUUAAUGAGAGUUAUAGCUAUAAUCUGGUGGAGUUACAGUUAAGGAUUAGAUGAAUGGUUAGGGAUUAUAUGUGAACUGAUGAUGCAGGUAUUUUGGUUUAGUAAGUGCAAAUUCAUGAUGUUGUUAAGAAGAGAGCUGAAUUGCAAAGUUCAUAGGAUAAAUGAGAAUUCAGGGCAUGAGAUUGGUGUUAUCUGAAUUUGAGAAUAAGGCAUGAGAUGUGUUUUAGAGGUGAUUGUGUUGAACUGAACUGGGUUGAGGCAGUUCACUGCUUAGCUGCAGUUGUAAGGAUUUGGAGGUGCAAGUGAACUUCAGCAAGAAGAAUGUGCCUUCAGUUGAGGAUGUUGUGGAUUAGUAUUGUAGCUAGCUGAGUGUAGAAGGAGUCUGGCUUAGUACUGCAAUUGCAGUUAGUCUAUAUUAACAACGAUCGAUUCAAAGGAUGAACCGGAGGAUCGUGGAUCGGCUUGUCAUCAAAAGAGUUUCAGAGACAUACUAGAGUUGCGCAGCGAAAGCUCCGAGAAGUUGACUUCUUUAGUUGGUUAUAAUCUGAUAUGUUUAUUAUGUUGUAUAUUCUAUUUGUAAACCAAAUGACUAUUUUAUAUGUAUCAUUUGAGAGAAUAUCUUGUAUAUAUAUUUCUGAGCGGGGUUAGUUUUAGGUUAAGUUUUAUAGCAGAUUUCUUAUUUGUUUGUUUCAGUAAAUGUAUUAGUUUUAGUGCCCCUGUCUUUAGUUAAUCUCUUGGAUAAGUCAGUUGUUAGCUUAGGGGGCGCUACAUGUGUGGUUUGGGUUUUGUUGUAUUUUUUUGCGCAGGUGACUGCAGUGAAGGUCAAUUAAAGUAGUAGCCACCCGGGGGAAUAUCAAUAUCUGGUAAGUACACUUCUUUUGCUUAUACUUAUCAUAUUGAGUUUUGUUGGAUACUAAUCUUCAGUAUAUAAUUGCUUUUGAGGUAAUAUGCUGUUCGUGAUGUUGCUACAGGAUUAUGUUGUUGUUGACCUUUCUCCGUUUCAGUAUGUCUAUUAACAACAAAAUAUGAAGAUAGAUUCAGGAAUCAGCAAAAGCUUAUGUCUUGUGUUGUCCGGCUUCCCAUUCUGCACCGACCUGUGAAUUUUCAAUUCCCUUUGUUGUCCUUCAACAUGAUGUAGAUACACUCACAGCAGCAGUACGUAGUUUCUGAAUGUUCAUGAUCAACAACUACUCUGAAACGAAGGUAUUUGGGCUUAAGUCAAAAAGCAGUACUCUGGUAAUAUUUUAGAAGCAGUUGAAUCUUUGCUGAGGAGACUGGUUAAGCAAGCGGAGUCUGGUGAUAUUUAGUAUUUCUUUCCCUGUUUUUCAAUGCCUCUGUCAGUUGACACAAACUAGGUUACCCAUCCAUUUAUAAACAUCAACAUAGAUCGAAUAUUGUAUGUCAGUCACAACAUACAUAAGUUUACUUGUGUACAUUUGUAUCAAUUGAAGAAUCCUUUCUUUUAUGAUAAUAUUAUCAGUGGUGAUUCUCG